ensembl:lncRNA
UUUGCACACUGGUGAUACAGCCAAGCGGGAAAGCAGAGGGCUGCAGGCAGCCUUAAUUUCUUGAGCCAAACUUGAGCUCUGUAAAAUCAGACUUGAACUGGCAGUGUUUAUAUAGGACAGCAUGCGGUCCUUCUACUCUGGUAUGUGAGAGCAUAGAAACUCAGGAGGGUCUCUACGUUAUUUCAGGUUAAUUUGUGACAAGGAGUUUUCCUCCUCUGAGAUGGUUCUCCCUCAGCUGAUUCACAAGAUGGGAUUUAUUCGCUUUGCAAGAUCCAUCUCCAUUCCUCACCCAGAAGAUGUAGCAGUUGUCUCUGGAAGUCCAGUAAUGUAAAACCCCUCCCUGAUGCACGG